rnacentral:rRNA from 1 species
UACAGAGGUCUCAAGCGUUGUUCGGAUUCAUUGGGCGUAAAGGGUGCGUAGGCGGCUCGGUAAGCCGGAUGUGAAACCUCCAAGCUCAACUUGGAGCGGCCAUUCGGAACUGCUGUGGCUAGAGUCUGGUAGGGGAACAGCAGGAAGUUCCUGGAUUCGUGAGUCGGUGGAAAUGACUUACUUAGACAGGAGGGAACAACCAGUCGGCUGGAAGGCGUGGUUCUUGGGCCAGUACGUCGAGCGACUGGAAGGCC